rnacentral:rRNA from 1 species
GAUGAACGCUGGCGGCGUGCCUAAUACAUGCAAGUCGAGCGAACAGACGAGGAGCUUGCUCCUCUGACGUUAGCGGCGGACGGGUGAGUAACACGUGGAUAACCUACCUAUAAGACUGGGAUAACUUCGGGAAACCGGAGCUAAUACCGGAUAAUAUAUUGAACCGCAUGGUUCAAUAGUGAAAGACGGUUUUGCUGUCACUUAUAGAUGGAUCCGCGCCGCAUUAGCUAGUUGGUAAGGUAACGGCUUACCAAGGCAACGAUGCGUAGCCGACCUGAGAGGGUGAUCCGCCACACUGGAACUGAGACAAGGUCCAGAAUCCUAAGGGAGGCAGGAGUAGGGAAACUUCCGCAAUGGGCGAAAGCCUGAAGGAGCAAAGCCGCGUGAGGGAUGAAGGGUUUCGGAUCGUAAAACUCUGUUAAUAGGGAAGAACAAAUGUGGAAGUAACUAUGCACGGCUUGAAGGUACCUAAUCAGAAAGCCACGGCUAACUACGUG